rnacentral:rRNA from 1 species
UACAGGGGGGGCAAGCGUUGUUCGGAAUUACUGGGCGUAAAGGGCUCGUAGGUGGCCAACUAAGUCAGACGUGAAAUCCCUCAGCUUAACUGGGGAACUGCGUCUGAUACUGGAUGGCUUGAGUUUGGGAGAGGGAUGCGGAAUUCCAGGUGUAGCGGUGAAAUGCGUAGAUAUCUGGAGGAACACCGGUGGCGAAGGCGGCAUCCUGGACCAACACUGACACUGAGGAGCGAAAGCGUGGGGAGCAAACGGG